UACGGAGGAUCCAAGCGUUAUCCGGAAUUACUGGGCGUAAAGAGUUGCGUAGGUGGCAUUGUAAGUUGUUAGUGAAAGAGUCCGGCUCAACCGGAUAGACAUUAACAAAACUGCGAAGCUAGAGGAUGAGAGAGGUUAUUGGAAUUCCUAGUGUAGGAGUGAAAUCCGUAGAUAUUAGGAGGAACACCGAUGGCGUAGGCAAUCCCCUGGGCCUGUACUGACGCUCAUGCACGAAAGCGUGGGGAGCAAACAGG
rnacentral:rRNA from 1 species